UACGUAGGGGGCAAGCGUUGUCCGGAAUCAUUGGGCGUAAAGAGCGCGUAGGCGGUCCGGUAAGUCCGCUGUGAAAGUCAAGGGCUCAACCCUUGAAUGCCGGUGGAUACUGUCGGGCUAGGGUCCGGAAGAGGCGAGUGGAAUUCCUGGUGUAGCGGUGAAAUGCGCAGAUAUCAGGAGGAACACCAAUGGCGAAGGCAGCUCGCUGGGACGGUACUGACGCUGAGGCGCGAAAGCGUGGGGAGCAAACAGG
rnacentral:rRNA from 1 species